AUAUUUUAGUAUAUAUUUUUAUAUUAUUUAGAUUUAAAAACAUUUUUAAACUUAGUAAAGGUGAUUUAAAUUUAUUUUUUAAUACCUAAGAAAAAGUACCGUGAGGGAACAUCAUAAAUUAAUAAAAAGAAAAAAUUAGAUUUUGUACCUUUUGUAUCAUGGCUUAACUAGAUAUUAAUUUUUUAUUAAACUUCUCGAAAUCUAAUGAGCUAUUUUUAUUCAGUGUAUUAGAACCAAAGGAUUAAUUGUAGCAAAAAUUUUCCAAGAAAUAAAGAUAGAAAUGAAAUUUUAUUCGUAUUAGAUGAUAGCUAGUUCUUCUAAAAGGUAUAUAAGUACUCUAAAUUAAUUUAAUUCAUAUAAUUAUUUAUAUUUAACAAGUUUUAGUUUGUUUAAAUUUUUGAGGAUAAGCUCGAAAAUUAUAUUAAAUAUCUACACUAAUAUUUUUAUUAAAAUUUAAGCUUAAAAAUAGCUAAAAUUUAGAUUUUGUUACAAUUCCAUUAUAAAUUAAAGAAAAUAAUUUAUUUGUUUUAAAUAAAUGAAGAAAACUUUAAAAUUUUAAAAAGUUGAAUUUAUGUUAAGAUGAGUAUUAAAUUAAUAUAUAAAUUUUAAUAUCUUAUAUAAUUUAAAGUUAAGUAUCGUAUAUUAAUUUUAAAUUAUAAAAAGGAACUCGGCAAAUAUAAAUUCUGCCUGUUUAGCAAAAACAUGGCUCCUUGUAAAAAAUAAAUAGGGAGUCGGACCUGCCCAGUGAAUAAUUUUUAACGGCCGCGGUACUCUGACCGUGCAAAGGUAGCAUAAUCAUUUGCCUUAUAAUUAAAGGCUAGUAUGAAUGGUUUGACAAGAAUAAAGCUGUCUCUUUCUAAUUUUAUAGAAUUUUAUUUUAAGAUAAAAAAGCCUUUAUUUAAUUAAAAGACAAGAAGACCCUAUCGAGCUUGAAAAUAGUAAAUGGAUUAUAAUAACUUAAUAGUGCUAAAAAAAUGUCUAUUAAUAAUUUUAGUUGGGGCAACUGAGGAACAAAAAAAGCUUCCUUUUAAAAAUUAAAUAUUUACAGUUAUUGACCCAAAAUUUUUUGAUUUAGGAAAUUAGUUACCGUAGGGAUAACAGCAUUAUCCUUUUUAAGAGUUCUUAUCGAAAAAGGGGCUUGUGACCUCGAUGUUGGACCAGAAUAACCUAAAGAUGCAGCAGUCUUUAAAGGUUGGUCUGUUCGACCAUUAAAAUUCUACGUGAUCUGAGUUCAGACCGGCGUAAGCCAGGUCAGUUUCUAUCUUUAAUUAUUUAAAUAAAUUUAGUACGAAAGGACCAAUUUAU
rnacentral:rRNA from 1 species